GACGAACGCUGGCGGCGUGCCUAAUACAUGCAUGUAGAACGCUGAAGGAGGAGCUUACUUCUCUGGAUGAGUUGCGAACGGGUGAGUAACGCGUAGGUAACCUGCCUGGUAGCGGGGGAUAACUAUUGGAAACGAUAGCUAAUACCGCAUAAGAGUAGAUGUUGCAUGACAUUUACUUAAAAGGUGCAAUUGCACCACUACCAGAUGGACCUGCGUUGUAUUAGCUAGUUGGUGGGGUAACGGCUUACCAAGGCGACGAUACAUAGCCGACCUGAGAGGGUGAUCGGCCACACUGGGACUGAGACACGGCCCAGACUCCUACGGGAGGCAGCAGUAGGGAAUCUUCGGCAAUGGACGGAAGUCUGACCGAGCAACGCCGCGUGAGUUAAGAAGGUUUUCGGAUCGUAAAGCUCUGUUGUAAGAGAAGAACGAGUGUGAGAGUGGAAAGUUCACACUGUGACGGUAUCUUACCAGAAAGGGACGGCUUACUACGUGCCAGCCGCCGCCGUAA
rnacentral:rRNA from 1 species